GGUGGCUUAGUGGUAGAGUACUUGCCUUGCAUGCAUGAGGCCCUGGGUUUGAUUCCUCAGCACCA
rnacentral:tRNA from 1 species